rnacentral:misc_RNA from 1 species
AAGUCGUAACAAGGUUUCCGUAGGUGAACCUGCGGAAGGAUCAUUAUUGAAUUCUAACUGGGUGAGAUUGCUGCUGGCUCUCGGGCAUGUGCACAUCUCAUUCAUUUACCUCUCACCUCUGUGCACUUUUCACAGGACAGCUGGUGGUUGUAGGCUUCAUUGUCUAUGGCGUACAGGUUGGCUUUGUUGCGCUUUAUAAACUUCAUAAAUCAAGUUACAGAAUGUCUAUUGUGUAUCCACACAUUUCAAAUA